GUGUUUGCUUUGGCAGCACAAAUACUAAAACUGGAACGAUACAGAGAAGAUAAGCAUGACCCCUGCGCAAGAAUGAUACCCAAAUUCAUGAAGUGUUCCAUAUUUUU